UACAGAGGGUGCGAGCGUUACUCGGAAUUACUGGGCGUAAAGCGUGCGCAGGCGGCUUUGUAAGCCAGAUGUGAAAUCCCCGGGCUUAACCUGGGAAUGGCAUUUGGGACUGCAAGGCUGGAGUUUGGCAGAGGAGACUGGAAUUCCCGGUGUAGCAGUGAAAUGCGUAGAUAUCGGGAGGAAUACCGAUGGCGAAGGCAGGUCUCUGGGCUAUAACUGACGCUCAUGCACGAAAGCGUGGGGAGCAAACAGG
rnacentral:rRNA from 1 species